GUCCAUGGCCAUGGCUUUUAGAGGUCAGCAGCAGCAGCAGUUUGGCCUAGCCUAGCCCUAGCUACAACUGACCACCAUGGCCAAAAGCAGGGCUGCACCUGCACCACCACCAUUUCUGCUGCUGGAGCUGCAGCUGCAGCUGUUGUUGGCGAUCCGGAGCUGACGGUCAAUCAUUGUCUUUCUUUCUUGGAUCACAACGGCGGUGGAGGAGGAGGAUGGUGCGGUCGCCGUGCGUGUGCCCGCGACCUGUUCGACGGAAUUCCCCACCGGACCGGGGGGGUCCACCGCGACGGUGUGUGGGUGUGCGGAUGCGGCGUGAGAGCUGGCGCCGGCGCUGCCGCGUCGUCCUUGCUGAGAUCUCCUCCCCGGCCGCCGUCGUGCCCGCCGUGCCGAGGACGCCAUGACUGCAUGACAGAAUCUGGCCAAUCGUUCUUGCAGCGCUGAGCACGGUGUCCUGGAUGGGAGAGACAUGGCCGUCGUGCUGAGCUGAUUGGUAAUUCGGUACACUGGCUGCAUUCCCGCAAAUUAGCCGAGUGAUCCGUGGAUUUGGAUGAAAGUUAACACCACAUUCAGGCAGGCAGCAGGCUGGUCUCAACGUGGGUGGUGGGUCAGGCAGACAACUUCACCGUGGUGGACACACAUAGGCCGAUCGCAAAUCUGGCAUCCUUAACAGAGGGGCAUGUGCAACCUGAUUUCAUAGGCAGGAAGGUUGUCUCUGCGAUGGCAUGGGUAAUCUCUCUGGAUCCUGGGUUAAUCCAUUGAUUUUGAUUUGACUAAAUGCCAGGUGAUGCGUGGAAUGUUACAUAAGGUGGUGAUCUAGGAUUCACAGAUUGCAGAUUGUGUGAGAAAUUCGGUCGGUGUUCUCAUGGCUUUAUGUCCGUGGUCUGGUUGAUAACGGAAGACUGACAGUGAUUUGUUGGAAGACUGCAUUAGCUUCAGGACUCAGGCAUGUGCUUGUUGGGGGUUCGAUUUGUUCGUCGUAGUACAGAGAUAAGUGAAUUGUGAAGAGUGACUUCUUAAACUGGAUUGUGAGGAUAAGGUGGGGUGCAUCAGUUUUGACCAGUAGUGUGGGUGCAAAGGUUGUACAUGCUUGUCUCUGCUGCUUAGACAAGCAAUAAUGGGUACAGCCAUACAUGAGCAAAGCCCAAAGGAAGAUCCAUUUUGUGCAAUGGUUUUAUAUUCUUGGACUUGUAGCUGGAUAGAUCUCUUUCUUAGUCCAAUGAAGCGUAGUGUGCGACUGAGACCUGUAAAAGUCUGGAAGAUAACUGCAUUUCAACUACGGUCUGCAAUGUAUAUACCUCAUGCGUAUAAAUACAAUUUCUCAAGAUCAUGGAGAAGGAUGAAGAAAUGCUGUUUCUUAAAUAAAAUGGAAAACUUGCUAACCUCCGUAUUCGUCAGUGCAGAACGAGAGGCAAUAUUGUUAUCAGGUUAGCAUACAUGUGAAUAUAUUUUUUUUGUUUUUUUAUGAGAUAAUGGAAUAAUUAUUUUGUUGUACAUUAGUCUAUAAAGAUUGCUUGAGUAACCAAUGACCAAUUAUCCGUGGUAAAACCAACAAGUUUUUGAUAAUUUGUAUUGCUGUAUAGCUACUAGGUAGUACUAUUUUUUUUUUUACUAUGCUGUACAGGAAUCAUGCUGGACCAUAAUGAAAAACCCAUGAUUAUCUGAUAAUCUAAUGUGCUCCAGUUUGCGAUGAA